GAUGAAGAACGUAGCGAAAUGCGAUAAGUAAUGUGAAUUGCAGAAUUCAGUGAAUCAUCGAAUCUUUGAACGCACAUUGCGCCCGCCAGUAUUCUGGCGGGCAUGCCUGUUCGAGCGUCAUUACAACCCUCAGGCCCCCGGGCCUGGCGUUGGGGAUCGGCGGAGCCCCCCGUGGGCACACGCCGUCCCCCAAAUACAGUGGCGGUCCCGCCGCAGCUUCCAUCGCGUAGUAGCUAACACCUCGCGACUGGAGAGCGGCGCGGCCACGCCGUAAAACUCCCAACUCUUCUGAAGUUGACCUCGAAUCAGGUAGGAAUACCCGCUGAACUUAAGCAUAUCAAUAAGCGGAGGA
rnacentral:misc_RNA from 1 species